rnacentral:lncRNA from 1 species
CAUUGACAAAUUUUCCCCCAUGGUGAAAGACCACUUCGACAUCACAGUUACCCAUCUCAAUUAAUAUAAAAAAUAAUGUCAGACAAUAUCAUCUUUUAACUAAAUAACACUACAUUUAUUUGACCAAAAUAACACUACAUUUACAGUAAGCAAUACUUAGUACUAUAAACACACCCUAAACACAUCAUAAACACAUCCUAAUGUGACUAAGAAAUUACGCUUCCAGAAAGCACUUUAAACACACCAUAAACAAUUAAAAUAGUUUUGUACUGAACCCUAAACAAUGGGGGACAACACAAAACACUUUAACCUGCACAAUGGGGGACCACAACAGAACACCUAUAAUGGGGGCAACAACCAAACAUAAAUAAUACUUAAUGGGGGACAACCAAACAGAAAUAAUAGUUUAUAGGGGACCACAACAAAAGCAAACACACACACGAAGCAAACAAGCACACCAAAGCAACCAUAAACCAAAUGAAACCAAUGUUACACACACCUUCGAAUGGACCUUGGAAUAGAACCCACUUCGCACUUCCAAAUACACCACGAACAAUGCCAAUAGCACUUCCAAAUCACCACACGCGCAUAUACUUUCGAAAGCCCAAAUGCGAUUUUUCACUUUUCGUCAAUUUUGAUUUCGAAAGCCCUAAUUUCACUCUUCGUCAACUCACACAAAACCCCUAAUUUUAUUUUGUUCAACAAUUAAAAACCCUUAAAUCAUUUAUUAAUUAAAUUUUCCCAAUUGUAUCUAAAUAAUUGACAUGGUUG